rnacentral:tRNA from 1 species
AUUUCUGUAGUUGAACUACAACGGUGGUUUUUCAAAUCAUUAGUCCUGGUUAAAAGUCCUGGUAGAAAUC